AUGGGCACCAGGUUCCUCUGCUGGGUCAUCCUCUGUCUCCUGGGGACAGAUCACACUGGAGCUGGUGUCACCCAGACUCCCAGAAACAUAGUCACAAAGAGUGGACAGGAUGUAGUUCUCAGGUGUGAUCCAAUUUCUGGUCAUCUUACACUUUACUGGUACCAACAGGCCCUAAGCCAGGGCCUGCAGUUUUUGAUGUACUUCCAAAGCAAAGAAUUGGGAGACACAUCAGGGAUGCCUCAACAACGGUUCUCUGUGAAGAGGCCUGAGGGAACCUACUCCACCCUGACGAUUGAGCGCGUGGAGCCUGGGGACUCAGCGGUGUAUCUCUGUGCCAGCAGUGUAGCCACAGUGUGA